CCAACGUGGAUACCUGGAGAGGUCACUCCCCCAAGGCUCUGUCCAGGUGCCACAGGAGAGCACAGGGCUCUGCCCUGCCCCGUGGUGUCCAGUCCUUUGCCCAGCGUUGGACAGAAAGCCGGCCUUCAGUCGACACCUGCAUAUUCCUACAGCUUUUCAGAGUCUGUGGACAGUGACUGAGGAGAUAAACCAUGCAGAAAACAUCU